rnacentral:lncRNA from 1 species
AAGCAAAGUCCAAAGCCUUUGUCUUCUGUGCAACCAGUGAGCUCUGCCUACACACACACGGUGGUCUUCAGUGAGCACAUUCCUUUUCUUUUCGGACAUAGUCAGAUAAAGGAACUUGCACGGGGUGCUUUCCUAAGACAGACCUGUAGCUGUAUAGAUAAGGAAAGUUACACAGAACCAGACACGUCCGCAGUGACACAGAGUCAAUAAGCAAAAUAAAACAACAUGCAGUAACUCAGGCUAAGGACCUGCAUGCACACUAGAGGGAAGAGGUGGAGCUAACAAGAAUUUGUAUGUAUGCAAAUAAGACAUCCAGUCCUAACCAGUUUUUCAUGCCUUAUGCACACAAAACACUGUGACUCAUUAGCUUUUAUUUUUGUAUAUAAAAGUCUGCAUUCAACUGUGAAAUGACAACCCUCUCAGUCUUCCUCUUCACAGUAGUCAGCUUUUCUCUUUCGCUUAUUAAACUUCUCUUCCAACAUUACCAUUGGUGUCCACAAUCCUUAAAUUUUGGGUCUUGAGACAAAGAACUCCUGGUGAUACUUCAAACAACAAGACUGCUCCAGUGACCCUAGGCUGCUUCACUGUAAAAGCAAACUUCCAGAAACAAAACAGACAAAACUUUGUGACGACAAAUAUCACAGUUGCCACACAGGCCAGCAGAAACCCAAUCACAUCCAAAGAGUGGUACUGGAACCAGUUUUAGUUAAAGAUGC